rnacentral:misc_RNA from 1 species
AAGUCGUAACAAGGUUUCCGUAGGUGAACCUGCGGAAGGAUCAUUAACACGUAUCCAACGUUAAACAACCCUGUGAACUUUCAGCGCUCUUGUAGCCCCGGAGGAACAGCAAUCCCGGUAAAUCAAAUGGCGGAAAGAGUUUUGAUUCGGGACCUCUGUCCAAAAGCGAGAACCAAGAUAUCCAUUGUUAACAGUUGUUCGGUUUUUAUGCCCGGCGUUUCCGCGAGGCUUGAUUAGGCAAGGGGUGAAUGAAGGGGCGUAAAGCCCUGUGACAUGUCUGCCGGCCGGUGAUCGACCUCUGGCAACCGUGAUGCGUUAUCCUUACUCAGUGGAUCCUUCUGCACUGCUUAGGGAAACCAUGCCACUGCUCUGCUCGAUUGUAACUUGAUA